GCCAGUGUGGCUCAGUUGGUUGAGCGUCACCCCGUGCACUGAGAAGUUACUGGUUCGAUUCCAGGUCAUGGCA
rnacentral:tRNA from 1 species